UGGAGGAGGAGGUUCAGCGCGGGAGAAAUGUUACCAGACAUCUCCGAUCUGGUGUCUGGACUUUUUUGAUAAUUUCAUAGAGAUUGGGUGUGCAGAUUGGCGGUUGGAGUUCUGGGAGGGAACGACUGGUAACUUUAAGGGUAUAUAUGAAGCCGAAAACACCCACAACAAUGAGGUAACUAACAUAAAGCUCGCCGGUGACAAAGUGAUAUUCGCACGGUUGAGUGGACGAAUCGAUUCUCUGAGACUGGAAACGUACACGCAAGGUUGUCAGAUCGAUUGGGGUUUUACGUCUGCAUAUGGGUGAACCCACGUACGCACCGGUUCGGCAGGAAGCAUUAGUUUAUUUCAGCAAUCCGUCCACAACGUUGCCAGCUCAACAUAACGCAUCCGAGGAGGAGCAUCGAUGUAUUCUGGAGUUUCACCAGCAGGGUUACCGGU